rnacentral:rRNA from 1 species
GUAGGGAAUAUUGGGCAAUGGAUGCAAGUCUGACCCAGCCAUGCCGCGUGCCGGAAGAAGGCCCUCAGGGUUGUAAACGGCUUUUAUUCGGGAAGAAGAGCAGGGAUGCGUCCUUGUGUGACGGUACCGAAUGAAUAAGCACCGGCUAACUCCGUGCCAGCAGCCGCGGUAAUACGGAGGGUGCGAGCGUUGUCCGGAUUUAUUGGGUUUAAAGGGUGCGUAGGUGGCUUUAUAAGUCAGUGGUGAAAUACAGCCGCUCAACGGUUGAGGUGCCAUUGAUACUGUAGAGCUUGAAACAAUUGGAGGCUGCCGGAAUGGAUGGUGUAGCGGUGAAAUGCAUAGAUAUCAUCCAGAACACCGAUUGCGAAGGCAGGUGGCUACGUUUGAUUUGACACUGAGGCACGAAAGCAUGGGGAGCAAACAGGAUUAGAAACCCCAGUAGUCC